ACGGGUGAGUAAUGUCUGGGGAUCUGCCCGAUAGAGGGGGAUAACCACUGGAAACGGUGGCUAAUACCGCAUAACGUCGCAAGACCAAAGAGGGGGACCUUCGGGCCUCUCACUAUCGGAUGAACCCAGAUGGGAUUAGCUAGUAGGCGGGGUAAUGGCCCACCUAGGCGACGAUCCCUAGCUGGUCUGAGAGGAUGACCAGCCACACUGGAACUGAGACACGGUCCAGACUCCUACGGGAGGCAGCAGUGGGGAAUAUUGCACAAUGGGCGCAAGCCUGAUGCAGCCAUGCCGCGUGUAUGAAGAAGGCCUUCGGGUUGUAAAGUACUUUCAGCGGGGAGGAAGGCGAUGCGGUUAAUAACCGCGUCGAUUGACGUUACCCGCAUAAGAAGCACCGGCUAACUCCGUGCCAGCAGCCGCGGUAAUACGGAGGGUGCAAGCGUUAAUCGGAAUUACUGGGCGUAAAGCGCACGCAGGCGGUCUGUUAAGUCAGAUGUGAAAUCCCCGGGCUUAACCUGGGAACUGCAUUUGAAACUGGCAGGCUUGAGUCUUGUAGAGGGGGGUAGAAUUCCAGGUGU
rnacentral:rRNA from 1 species